rnacentral:rRNA from 1 species
AUUGAACGCUGGCGGCAUGCCUUACACAUGCAAGUCGAACGGCAGCACGGGUGCUUGCACCUGGUGGCGAGUGGCGAACGGGUGAGUAAUAUAUCGGAACGUACCUUAUUGUGGGGGAUAACGCAGCGAAAGCUGUGCUAAUACCGCAUAAUCCCUAAGGGGGAAAGCGGGGGACCGUAAGGCCUCGCGCAAUUAGAGCGGCCGAUACCUGAUUAGCUAGUUGGUGAGGUAAAGGCUCACCAAGGCAACGAUCAGUAGCUGGUCUGAGAGGACAAUCAGCCACACUGGGACUGAGACACGGCCCAGACUCCUACGGGAGGCAGCAGUGGGGAAUUUUGGACAAUGGGGGCAGCCCUGAUCCAGCAAUGCCGCGUGAGUGAAGAAGGCCUUCGGGUUGUAAAGCUCUUUUGUCUGGGAAGAAACAGCAGCUCUAACACAGUAUGCGAAUGACGGUACCUGAAGAAUAAGCACCGGCUAACUACGUGCCAGCCGCCGCAGUAA